UGGGACUACAAGCAUGAGCCACUGCUCUCAGCUCAAUUCUGCAUUCUGGAACUGGGGGAAUAACUAUAGGAUAAGUUCAGGGACCCUCUAGACUCACAGUGAAACAGACCUGAGCUCAAACUCUAGUGACCCCUGACCUCUAUGAAGCCCUACUUUGGCUGGUAGACCACAAAGAUAUUUUGGGUCUCUUAGAACUGGUGUCAGCGUAGAGCCAGUGUCCUGGAAUCUCCAAAUAGCCUAAUUAUUUCCUUUUCCUCCAUGGCUUUCCCUGGUAAAUGGCCCUAAGUUGCUUUGGGGAAGGCUGGGAAAAAAGAUUAUCAGAAUAAAAUGCCGGAAAUGUAACAGGGUCCUUCCUCAAGGGGAGCCAGCUUACCUUUCAUUCAAGGGGUUCUAGGUCUAUAAACUAUGUCAAAUCUGGGAAUUGAUUGAAUUGACUCUCAGUUCUGGUGACUAAAGUUAGACUUCUGUUCACUAGAGAUAGAACUCUUCUGCUUAUACAGAUCAGGUAAAAAUUUAGUAGACCGUCCUUCUAUUUCAAUUCCAGGGACACCAUGAUCAACCAGCCAAUGCCAAAGACCUCUGGGGGUCAGACUAUUCUGAGGACUGCUUUGGCUCCACCGUCCACAGUGGCAACCACACCCACUUGGUCUUUUAUGCGGGACAUGGAUGAAGCUGGAAACCAUCAUUCUCAGCAAACUAUCACAAGGACAAAAAACCAAACACCCCAUGUUCUCACUCAUAGGUGGGAAUUGAACAAUAAGAAC
rnacentral:lncRNA from 1 species